CAAUUAUAUUGUUCAACAGCAGUUUAAGUAUAUGCGCUUUCCGCCGCUCGAAUUAUUGUGCAAUGAUUAAUUUUGCUGUACUCAUCACUGACAUCAGUUAAAGAUUUUUGGCCAAAGGAAACAUCUAUUCCAAGCUGGCAGAUCUUCAUGGAAUCAGCAGAUCAUCUUUCGUUAUUUGACAUGCCUUCACGAGUUCAAUCAGCAAACAUAUGAUCGGUUUCCAGCCCGUGUACAACAACAAACUUGCAUGAAGGUUGGAUUCUGCCACAAGGCCUGGGAGCAGUGGAUGGGACUCUCAUACCCAUAAUACUGAAUACGUUAAAUUACAAACAUGCAGUUGAACACAGCAGGAACUCUUGAAGAAAAAAAUAUGUACUUUUUUAUUUGAACUUAAAUGUAAAAUAUAUAUUUAAUUUUAGCUCGACUAUACCUUGAAUGAUAAGCUGUGUAUAAAAUUAUGGUAAACAUGCAACAUCCUUAUAUCACUGUUUCUAUAACAUAUUUUUAUUAAAAGCACUUAGGUAUUCAGG